AAUGCAAGCUGUUCUAUCGCCCCGAUCUUGUAUCGGGGAGGAAAGUCCGGGCAACAUAUAGCAUCUCGCUUCCUAACAGGAAGGCAUUUAAGAAUGAAAACUUAAAUGACAGCAAGUGCCACAGAAAAUAUACCGCCCCGAUUUAUCGUGGUAAGGGUGAAAACGUGAGGUAAGAGCUCACGAAUUCGUUAAGUGAUUAACGUUUUGGUAAACCUCGGGAGUUGAAAGACCAAAUAGGCUAACGCAUGUAGGGCUGCUCGUCCGAUGUUAGUGGGUAGGUCGUUAAAGAUAAAUGGCGACAUUUAUAUUAGAUUAAUGAUAGAAGUCCCAGCCUUGUGUUGGGAAACAGAACCCGGCUUAUAAGCUUGCAUUUUUU
rnacentral:RNase_P_RNA from 1 species